rnacentral:rRNA from 1 species
GUGGGGAAUCUUCCGCAAUGGGCGAAAGCCUGACGGAGCAACGCCGCGUGAGUGAUGACGGCCUUCGGGUUGUAAAACUCUGUGAUCCGGGACGAAAAGGCAGAGUGCGAAGAACAAACUGCAUUGACGGUACCGGAAAAGCAAGCCACGGCUAACUACGUGCCAGCAGCCGCGGUAAUACGUAGGUGGCAAGCGUUGUCCGGAAUUAUUGGGCGUAAAGCGCGCGCAGGCGGCUUCCCAAGUCCCUCUUAAAAGUGCGGGGCUUAACCCCGUGAUGGGAAGGAAACUGGGAAGCUGGAGUAUCGGAGAGGAAAGUGGAAUUCCUAGUGUAGCGGUGAAAUGCGUAGAGAUUAGGAAGAACACCGGUGGCGAAGGCGACUUUCUGGACGAAAACUGACGCUGAGGCGCGAAAGCGUGGGGAGCAAACAGGAUUAGAAACCCGAGUAGUCC